AGCAAAAAAACGGCCUAAUGUGACUAAAUGGGGCAACAGACUUUGUGAAAAUGAUGGAAAACGAAGUUAAAAAGAUGAAGAAAUUACAGUAUUAUACUUUCUAGUAGGCAUGGUGUUCAGUCAAGCAUGAAAUUCACUUAUGGCUAAUGGCAGAGAAAAGAGAGUUGUGAUUGGGAUCUGGCUUGUACUUCAAGUGAAACUCAUCUUAUUUAUACAUUGAAAUAUUUAACAAUUGAAAAAUUCAUGGCCCUCGUCAUAUCUAUGUGUCACAAGAUGAAUAAAUAUAAGUUGUCAAA
rnacentral:sRNA from 1 species